rnacentral:rRNA from 1 species
UACAGAGGGGGCAAGCGUUGUUCGGAAUUACUGGGCGUAAAGGGCGCGUAGGCGGCCUUCUAAGUCGAACGUGAAAUCCCCGGGCUCAACCCGGGAACUGCGUCCGAUACUGGAAGGCUUGAAUCCGGGAGAGGGAUGCGGAAUUCCAGGUGUAGCGGUGAAAUGCGUAGAUAUCGAUGAAGGAAGACCAGUGGACGAAGGCGGGUCUCGUGGACAGUUCCUGACGCUGAGGCACGAAGGCCAGGGAGCAA